UGGGGGAUAUUGCACAAUGGGCGCAAGCCUGAUGCAGCGACGCCGCGUGGGGGAUGAAGGCCUUCGGGUUGUAAACUUCUUUUGCUCUGAACAAGGCGCACUUUAGGGUGUGUUGAGUGUAGGGGUUGAUUAGCGCCGGCUAACUACGUGCCAGCAGCCGCGGUAAUACGUAGGGCGCGAGCGUUGUCCGGAAUUAUUGGGCGUAAAGGGCUUGUAGGUGGCUGGUUGCGUCUGUCGUGAAAGCUCAUGGCUUAACUGUGGGUUUGCGGUGGGUACGGGCUGGCUUGAGUGCAGUAGGGGAGGCUGGAAUUCCUGGUGUAGCGGUGGAAUGCGCAGAUAUCAGGAGGAAUACCGGUGGCGAAGGCGGGUCUCUGGGCUGUUACUGACACUGAGGAGCGAAAGCAUGGGGAGCGAACAGG
rnacentral:rRNA from 1 species